GACGAACGCUGGCGGCGUGGUUAACACAUGCAAGUCGAACGGAAAGGCCCUGCUUUUGUGGGGUGCUCGAGUGGCGAACGGGUGAGUAACACGUGAGUAACCUGCCCUUGACUUUGGGAUAACUUCAGGAAACUGGGGCUAAUACCGGAUAGGAGCUCCUGCUGCAUGGUGGGGGUUGGAAAGUUUCGGCGGUUGGGGAUGGACUCGCGGCUUAUCAGCUUGUUGGUGGGGUAGUGGCUUACCAAGGCUUUGACGGGUAGCCGGCCUGAGAGGGUGACCGGCCACAUUGGGACUGAGAUACGGCCCAGACUCCUACGGGAGGCAGCAGUGGGGAAUAUUGCACAAUGGGCGGAAGCCUGAUGCAGCAACGCCGCGUGCGGGAUGACGGCCUUCGGGUUGUAAACCGCUUUCGCCUGUGACGAAGCGUGAGUGACGGUAAUGGGUAAAGAAGCACCGGCUAACUACGUG
rnacentral:rRNA from 1 species